rnacentral:rRNA from 1 species
GACGAACGCUGGCGGCGUGCUUAACACAUGCAAGUGGAGCGACGAACCAGGGCUUGCCCUGGGGCAGAGCCGCGAACGGGUGAGUAACACGUGGGUUACCUACCCCGAUGACCGGGACAACCCGAGGAAACUCGGGCUAAUACCGGAUGUGGUCUUCGGACGAAAGGAGCUUCGGCCUCCGCAUCGGGAUGGGCCCCGCGGCGCAUUUAGCUUGUUGGUGGGGUAACGCCUACCAAGGCGACGAUGCGUAGCNGGUCUGAGAGGACGAUCAGCCACACUGGGACUGAGACACGGCCCAGACUCCUACGGGAGGCAGCAGUGGGGAAUCUUGCGCAAUGCGCGAAAAGCGUGACGCAGCAACGCCGCGUGGGGAAGAAGGCCU